GGUGCUCAGAAAGCAUGCGUCCCUUAGAGUCCCACAGAAAGGUUCUCAGUGCGCUCUCUAUCAAGAGGCUCUAGGAAGGAUUCAUGUUGUAACUGCUGUCACUGCAAUCAGUUGGUGGUUCAGCCUUGAAACGUGCACUUGGCCUUCUAUAAAGCGCUGUUUUGUUUGCCUUUCAUUGCUAUGAGUCUUGAUAAAUUGGAGAAGAGCCCAAGAGAAAUUUUUCAUCCCUUGAUAUAAAAGGGAUCGGUGAAUUUUAACUUUGGAGUCCUCUAUGCUAAGGAUGCUCAGCUUACAGAUGAUGAAAUGUUCAGUAAUGGGAAAGACUCUCAUAUCCUCGUCGUCGGGCUCGGUGCUGUCCAAGAAGAUACAGAGACUAAAAAAAUCAUAAGAAGCAAAAUAUGACUGCAGGGAAAAGAAGCUGGAGAGAACAGAAU